ACUCCUACGGGAGGCAGCAGUAGGGAAUCUUCCACAAUGGGCGCAAGCCUGAUGGAGCAACACCGCGUGAGUGAAGAAGGGUUUCGGCUCGUAAAGCUCUGUUGUUAAAGAAGAACACGUAUGAGAGUAACUGUUCAUACGUUGACGGUAUUUAACCAGAAAGUCACGGCUAACUACGUGCCAGCAGCCGCGGUAAUACGUAGGUGGCAAGCGUUAUCCGGAUUUAUUGGGCGUAAAGAGAGUGCAGGCGGUUUUCAAGUCUGAUGUGAAAGCCUUCGGCUUAAACCGGAGAAGUGCAUCGGAAACUGGAUAACUUGAGUGCAGAAGAGGGUAGUGGAACUCCGAUGUGUAGCGGUGGAAUGCGUAGAUAUAUGGAAGAACACCAGUGGCGAAGGCGGCUACCUGGUCUGCAACUGACGCUGAGACUCGAAAGCAUGGGUAGCGAACAGGAUUAGAUACCCCUGGUAGGAUAGCG
rnacentral:rRNA from 1 species